AAGCCAUGCUUAAAAGCAAAACCAAAACUUCUCAGGAGGCUGGGCUUCGGUCAGUUCCUCACAGCCAGUUUUGGUUUGAAUUACCCUCCUGUUACAAGGAAGCUGGAUGGAGAGGAUAUCUUCUCCUCCCUUGCCUCAAGGACUUUAAGUGACGGUUUUUCUUGACCCAUCCGUGUAGGUCCCUCUGCCAGCCAGAAGGAGUCCUGCCUUGGAGCUACUGCUUGUUGUAGUGCUCAAGGCAGACCCUACAUUUGUUUUGUUUUGUUUUGUUUGGGCUGUUUGUUGGCUUCCAGGAGGGGAUCUGAUGCAAGGGCAACUAUUGUUGUAUUUUCCUUUGCGUCUUUCCCUGAGGAGAGGUACCAAGUUCUGCUGCUGCGAGUAGCUAAGAGGCUGAGACUCUCUCCUAUCUUGAGCCGGUGUUGCAGAUGGUGAUGAGGCCGCCACGGUUGGAUCGGAUACAGACCAUGUUCCUCCUUCCGCUAAUUUUGAGCCUGGGAAUGCAGCUUCAUCAGACAGCAGCUUUAUUUACAGUGACAGCCCCUAAGGAACUGUACACAGUGGACUAUGGGAGCAAUGUGACCCUGGAGUGUCACUUUGACACUGGAGGUCAUGUGGAACUCAGAAACUUAAAGGCCAGUUUGCAGAAGAUGGAAAACUAUACAUCCUUGCAGAGUGAAAGAGCCAGCUUGCUGGAAGAGCAGCUGCCCCUGGGGAAGGCCUCCUUCCACAUCCCUCGAGUGCAGCUGACGGACGCGGGCCAGUACCGCUGCCUCAUCAUCUACGGCCUCGCCUGGGACUACAAGUACCUGACUCUGAAAGUCAAAGCUUCCUACAAGGAAAUAAACACCUAUUUACUUAGGAUCCCGGGGGUAGAUGAGGUAGAGCUCACCUGCCAGGCCGAAGGUUAUCCGUUGGCAGAAGUAUACUGGGAAAACGUCAGCGUUCCUGCCAACACCAGCCACAUCAAGACCGCUGAUGGCCUCUACCAGGUCACCAGCAUUCUGCGCCUCAAGCUGCACCCCGGCAGGAACGUCAGCUGUGUGUUCUGGAACGCUAACAUGGACGAACGUACCUCAGCCGUCAUUGAAUAUGGUGGCAAAGAACCUGAAACCUCUUCAAACUGGCUGCUUCCUGUUUUCAUCCCUUCCUUCAUCAUUGUUUUGAUAUUCGUAGCUACAAUGAUAGGCCUAAGAAAACAGCUCUUCCAAAAGCUUCCUUUUAGAAAAGACACAACAAAAAAAUCUGUUGCCGCCAUGAGGAGGGAAGUGGACAGAGCUCCUGCGGGGGAAGCAUGGAGUGGAAGCUAGGGAGAGAGCCCAGGGAGCAGUCCGGUGCCUUCCUCCUGGGACCUGAGCCCGGAGAGGAGAAUGAGUCUGAAAGAAACGCUGGAAAUGUCUGGUGCGAUGGAGAAUGAGCAAAGGUUUUGAACAGAUUUGAACCUGUGGUUUCAGGAGCUGGGGUGACCUGAUGGGACAUCCUUAAGAAGCUUCUGGACUCUGAACAAGAGAGAGGCAGCACCUAGCUACGUGUGCUCAGAGGAAGCCAGGCACCCCACCCCUCCCAGAUCCAGGCGCUCACCUCCACAGCCUGUGACUCUAAGCAAAGCACGAUAGCACUUUAGGAAAUGACCACCCUGGAUCAUAGACCCCAAUGAGUGUUCUGAGGCUCCUUCUUGCUGCCAGGCUGAAAACAAAGGGAAUUUCUGCCCCCUGCUUUUCCAGAGUGAUUUCCAGAAACAGAGAUGAGUGGAAAUUUUCAGUUGCAGAAAUGGACCCAUUGCCAAUAGUUAUUUUUAUCAGCAGUUUCUUCUUGAUUCCAGAAAAGCCUAUUGAGUCCAUGAACUCACAGAACUUUAAACAAAGUCAAGCCAUAAUUGGCGUAUCGUAUGGCUUAGUGGAAUCUGGAAAGAAUCUGAGUCAUUUUAAUUAACAGAAAGCAUUUAAGUACACAGUGGACAACUCUAAUUGUGGAGAAAGGCCAUUGAGUAUUUCUGUGAGAUCUAAAUCACAGAGCAUUUGUUUUAACCUGUAAUGGCACCAUACUAAAUGAUUUUUUUUUAAACUCCAUCUUCCCUUUUAAAAAUGCUGUUUUGUUUUAUUUUUUAACCUCAGAAGCCAAGGGCAUACAUUAAAAAAAACCAAAACGCUAAUAUGCCGUACAUGUAAAGAUUUCAGAUGGGUACCCAUAAUGGUCCAAGCCCCAAUCGAAGGCUCCUUUCCUGGCCCUCUCUCUGACUCUGAACUCCACCUUUCAGUGUCUCUGUCCCUGUCCGUGACACAGUGACACUCACGAGUCAAGACCUUCGAUGGCUGGCACUGUAGAAAUGCUGUGGGAGCCCCUUGUAUGUGUCGUCGAGGGGGAUGACGGUAACCGCAUGCUGCGACAACCGGUGAAUCCUCUUAAAUUUGGUCUGUGUGCUGCAGUCGGGAAGUUCGGAGCACUAGUUGUCCUAUGACGUACCCAGAUGUGUGCACUGUUGAGCUCAGCAGAGUCCUAGGUUCGCGGCCUAUCUCUCUCUCAGUCUGGAGCCAUGAGGAUUGGGGCUCAUGUGAUCGCUUCCCCUUAGACAGCGAGCUCCUGCAGGGCAAGGAGGGAGCAGAUUUGACUAACGCUGCAGCGAGCUGCCUCAGGCACGACUGACUCUAAGACGCCUCCUAAUACGGAAGAGAACGGCUACAUGUAACAUUCUUACUUUCUGUGACCUUAAUAUCAUUGGCUAAAAAGAAGGUAAUGGCAAUCCUUGAAAACAGAAGAACUGGAGGAGUUGUGUGUCUUUAAAAAAGAAAAAAGUACCUUUUACAAAAGAAGCAAAAAUAACAUUUGGGCGAGUUUGAGGAAUUGAGAAAGGCCGAGCAAACAGAAAUCACCGAUGAUCUCAUCAGCUCAACACAAGUAUUUUCGUUUUUGCUGUUGGCGUUUGGUCCUUGUCCAGACAUGUAUACGAUUUCAGCCAUAGUUGUGAUCGUCUGUCCUUUUUUUUUUUUUUUUUCCAAAUUUGUCAUUGUACCACGGGUUCCCACCCAUGUGGCUGACUAGUCCUCCUAAGUAUCAUUUUUGAUGAAUGCGUGAGUCACAGAUCAUAAUGAGUGGGGAUUGGGCCACUCUCCUCAUCCUCUGACCGCUAUAAGCCCAUAUUUUGACUAGCGGCCUACAGUGACAUUUAGGGUUCCUAAGGAUUAGUAUCAUUUCAGAGUAGUGUUUAGGAAUCCCUGAAAAGCCUGGGUAUUUCCAUUUCCCCCAGUGCACAGACACCUUCAUAAUGACCUCAAAUCCCUUUGGGGAUGGCUUUGAGGAAGAUCUAUAGUAUGCAGCGUUGUUGCAGGGUCCUUUCUGAGAACUGGGGAAGAAGCUAUGACUCUCAGUUGUGAAAACUCAAGUCAGAUUUCUAUUAUAUAAAUCAAGUGAUGCUUUGGUAGGCUGGCCGUCAACUUCAUUCUUAUUAGGGCCAACCACCACUGAAGAUUCCCUGCAAGUAGAGAAUUCUGAUUACUAUUCUGGGAUCAUAUCCUCUCCGCUGAAAGCAGGAAUCCCGUCUCAGGGGCAGCAUCUCCUCCCAGCACCCUUGGCAUGCAGAAAACAGCCACCUGGAAGUGUCCACGGUGGCUGGGGCUCCCUCACUAAUGCAUUUCUCAAUGCUUUGGUGAAGAGAAUAUUCCUUGGGCCCUUUGAAGGUGAGGAAAGAUGCACAGGUUACAUAUGAUAAAUUACUCCAUUAUCCCUAACUCCUUAAGCCUUUAGGAUCCUUCCUGUACAUUAUUCCACAGAAAUUCUAUUAACUCAAUGUCACUGUUGAACACAGGUUUCAGCCAAACAACUAAAUAAACAGACCACUCCCA